UACGGAGGGUGCGAGCGUUGUCCGGAAUCACUGGGCGUAAAGGGCGCGUAGGUGGCGCGGGAAGUCAACGGUGAAAGUUCGGGGCUCAACCCUGAAUCGGCCGUCGAUACUCCCGGGCUCGAGCACUGUAGAGGCAGAUGGAAUUCCGGGUGUAGCGGUGGAAUGCGUAGAGAUCCGGAAGAACACCGGUGGCGAAGGCGGGUCUCUGGGCAAUAACUGACGCUGAGGAGCGAAAGCGUGGGGAGCGAACAGG
rnacentral:rRNA from 1 species